rnacentral:tRNA from 1 species
GGUCCUGUAGCUUAGUGGUGAAAGCAGGCGGCUCAUAACCGCAAGAUCGUGGGUUCAAAUCCCUCCGGGACCA